rnacentral:rRNA from 1 species
AACGAACGCUGGCGGCAUACCUAACACAUGCCAGUCGAACGAGACCUUCGGGUCUAGUGGCGCACGGGUGCGUAACGCGUGGGAACCUGCCCUUAGGUUCGGAAUAACUCCCCGAAAGGGGUGCUAAUACCGGAUAAUGUCUUCGGACCAAAGAUUUAUCGCCUUUGGAUGGGCCCGCGUUGGAUUAGCUAGUUGGUAGGGUAAAAGCCUACCAAGGCGACGAUCCAUAGCUGGUCUGAGAGGAUGAUCAGCCACACUGGGACUGAGACACGGCCCAGACUCCUACGGGAGGCAGCAGUGGGGAAUAUUGGACAAUGGGCGAAAGCCUGAUCCAGCAAUGCCGCGUGAGUGAUGAAGGCCUUAGGGUUGUAAAGCUCUUUUACCCGGGAUGAUAAUGACAGUACCGGGAGAAUAAGCGCCGGCUAACUCCGUG